UACGUAGGGUGCGAGCGUUAAUCGGAAUUACUGGGCGUAAAGCGUGCGCAGGCGGUUCGUUGUGUCGGCGGUGAAAGCCCCGGGCUUAACCUGGGAAUGGCCGUUGAAACUGGCGAACUGGAGUGUGGCAGAGGGGGGUGGAAUUCCACGUGUAGCAGUGAAAUGCGUAGAGAUGUGGAGGAAUACCGAUGGCGAAGGCAGCCCCCUGGGAUGACACUGACGCUCAUGCACGAAAGCGUGGGGAGCAAACAGG
rnacentral:rRNA from 1 species